GCAGAAAUGGUGGUGUUCUGAAGAGCUGCCAUUACAAAUGCUUCCCUUGAGAGCCAAACUCUCAGCUGCAGAAGAUCUCUGGUCUGAAACAGGCUUCUUUGUGAACAGUGUUUUGGACAGGAAAUCCAAGCACAGAAUUUACAUGCACUUAAGGAAAUAUACUAUGAGAAAACAGCUUGUUCCAAACAGUACUUAAAAGGAACCAUGGAGGAACUGCUGUAUCUAAGAACAAAAAGAUGGUGACUUCUGAAAAUUACAUCACCAAAUGAGGAACCCACAAAGAAGACAUAACUUCUACUACACCUAAGUUCCUUUUGUGGAUCCAGGCCUAUAUGCUUAUAUGGCCCCCAUCUGUCCAUUAUCUGAAUGCCUAACAAUAAUUAAUGAAUAUUAUCCCUGCUACACCUCUAUAAGGUAGGUAAGCAUUAUCCCUAUUUUUCAGAACGGGGAACUGAGGCAUAGGCUAAGUAACUUGGCCAAGGAGACACAGGAACUCUGUGGCUGAACUGGAGAUUGGAUGCAGGCCUCCUGAAUUCACAGUUCAGUUCCCUUUCCACUAGACCAUCCUUCUGCCACUCUCACCAUAUUUAAAUUAGUUGGUCAGUGUCCAAGUUGCCCAGUUUGUGUGGGUCUUCACAAAAAAAAACACUUUAAAAAGU